GACGAACGCUGGCGGCGUGCUUAACACAUGCAAGUCGAACGGGCCUUGUCCCCUUUUUUUUUGGGGGUGGGGUUAGUGGCGAACGGGUGAGUAACACGUGAGUAACCUGCCCCUCACUUCUGGAUAACCGCUUGAAAGGGUGGCUAAUACGGGGUGUUCUGGCCUGCUCGCAUGGGUGGGUUUGGAAAGAUUCGACCGGUGUUGGGUGUGUUGGUGGGGGGUGGGCGCGCGGCCUAUCAGCUUGUGGGUGGGGUGGGGGGCUGCCAAGGCUGUGACGGGUAGCCGGCCUGAGAGGGUGGGCGGGCACACUGGGACUGAGACACGGCCCAGACUCCUACGGGAGGCAGCAGUGGGGAAUAUUGCACGAUGGGCGCAAGCCUGAUGCAGCGACGCCGCGUGAGGGAUGGAGGCCUUCGGGUUGUGAACCUCUUUCGCCUGUGAAGAAGGUCCUGCUCUUUGUGGUGGGGUUGACGGUAGCUGGGUUAAUGAAGCGCCGGCUAACUACGUG
rnacentral:rRNA from 1 species